AGUAUGCCAAGAAGGUCGGACUUUGCCAGAUGCUUUGUCUUCAUCCAUUGACACGGUCAUAUGGCUUUCUCUUUAAACCUGUUAACGUGAAGAUGGCGUUGCCUGGUUUUUGAAUGUUGAACCAUGGGAAAGCAGGCAAGCAGCUGCAGUCGGCUUCAGCUGUCUCUACCCGCCUCUUCAGAUACAGUGUGUCUACUCAGCUUGGUAGGUCUCCCUCUCACCCAGCCCACACCACAUUGUUCCUUCCCUGAUGUUCCAGUCCCCGGAGACUCAACUCAGUGCGCUGCUCAUCUACA